rnacentral:sRNA from 1 species
AACUCAGGCCCAAGUCACGGGAAUCUGAAUGGUGGGGUGACCUUCUCCUCUAGUUUAAUUUCAUUGCAAUACUGAGAAACUUCAACUGUUUUGUCUUUAGAAGGGAAAUUCAUGUUUGCGCCAGGCCAGCCUUUGUAAAAGCCUUUGAUUGGAUUCACUAGAAGUCUGUCUUCCCGCAGUACAUAUAUUGUGAAUUUUCUGCUUUGGCAUUUCAACCACUUGGAAUGGCCACUAAAGUCUUGAGUUCUGGAACCUCUGGAUUUGAUCUAAAGUAAAUUCUGAUUCUGUGUUGAUGGGGAACCAUUUCUCUCUAACACUGUGGUUUCUUUAAGAUGUUUGACUUGGGCCACAUGAGAAUAACAGAUCGUUGGGCAGUCCAAGCAAAAGCCUCCUGAUCUAGCAGCCAAGACUGCCCCUGACCUUUGGCCAUGUACCCCAACCCUCUCGUCUAUUGCACCUGCUGGGGCCCCUGGAACUUGGGACCACGGAAGCUAAUCAAGACCCCUCGACUACCAUGCAAGAACUCCACAGGGAGGUCCAAGCUAACUCCUCUUCUACCAGCUCCAAAAAAUCACAAUUACCUCCAACCAACAAAACCUGUUGUUUCCCCAAAAAUGAAAAUCCAUUCAGCAAGGCAAGAAGAGAGCAAUAAAUCAUUUUAUGUGAGUAAAGGCAGGAAAAGGGUGGUGGGACUAAAAUUUAUUGAGUGCCUACCACGUGCAAGCGUGGGCCCUUUACAUUUUUAUACUUACCUUGUUGAAUCUUCACAAAGAUCCUGGGAGGAGGUGCUGUUAUUAUUGCACAUUAUGCAUGGCAGGAAGUGAUCAACGUGUCACCUGGCUAUCAACUUGUUCGGAAUCGGGAACAGAUUUCUGUCACCUUAGGGGAUGAGAUGUUUGAUAGGAAAAAGCGGUGGGAAUCGGAGAUCCCGGACAAAGGCAGAUUUUCCAGGACCAACAUCAUUUCUGACCUAGAAGAGCAAAUCUCAGAGCUGACAGCAAUAAUUGAACAAAUGAACAGAGACCACCAGUCUGCCCAGAAAUUGGGAGCUCAAAGAGGCCCAUGAAGCAGAACUCAGUGAGUUGGAGAACAACUACAAAGCAGCCUUGAAGGCGGAGAAGUUGGCUGCCCAAGAGAAGCUAGAGGAGAUGGGAAAAGAAUACAAGUAUUUGAAGAAUAUGUUUCGUACAUAUCAGGACAGUAUUUAUGAUGAAAUGGAAGAGAAGUGGUCAAAACAGAAGGCAAAAUGGAAGAAGGAUGAGAAGUUGGAGCGAGAAAAUAUCCUGCUACAGCAAAAAAAAAAGGUGACCAAAAAAUUCGAAUUGGAGUCAAGAGAAGAAGAGAAGAAAAUAAAUGAAUCCUGCAGUGCUGUCUUUGAGAACUUCAUUCGAGAGAAGGAGGAGCUCUUGAAACAACAUCAAAGUGACACCUUGCAAUUAGAAGAGCUGAGAAAAACCAAAGAGUCCAAGUGCCCUGGAGAAGAGACUAAAUAAAUAGACAUCGGCAUGAUGUCCUGCAACAACUUCUUCUUAUGCAGGUCAUGGAGGAAGAAUUGCAUGCACAAGCCCUUAUCCUAGAGUCACUUAACACAAACCUCUACUAUACCCAGUUGGAACUCCAGAAAGAGAAAGCUAUAGUGGGAAAUCUGGAGAAAAUGCUUCAAACCAAGUUUGCUGAAGCUGAAGAAAAGUAUAAGCAUACCAUACAGAUCCUGACGGAAGAGAACAUUCAUCUGAAGCAAAAGAUAAUUUCUAAGAAUGAAGAAAUUUAUGAAGGAUGUUCUGGGAGAUUGGCCUCUAUUACUGUUUCUAAGGAUGAUUCUGACACUGUGGAAGAUGGUAGCAAGAAAGGACAAGAAUCAUAAACAAAAAGUUGCUCUGCAUUGUUGAAGAUGGUUGGCACACCAUUUCUGUAGGCCCAGGAAACUCCUGGGAGGGUUUUCUUGAGAAAAUGCAUAUAAUGAAUUUAGUUCUUGGGUUGCUCUGACUCUCUGAGUGGCUGAAAAUGUUUGAAUUUUCAUCUGAAUUUCACAGCUUAUCAUGGACUCUUCAUUGAAAAAUGAUGCUCUCGGUACUGGGAGCUGAGCUUUCUCUG